rnacentral:lncRNA from 1 species
UAUCACGGUAACUCAACAAACAUAUUAACGUUUAGAUAAUGUGUAUAACCUAGAGACUUGCACCAAACUAGUACAAAAGUGUAACCCAAUAUUUGUUUUCUUCUUAUUUUCCUUUUUUAUCGUGAGGUGUUAAGCACGGAUGUAUAGCUAGCCAAAUUUGAAACCAUAACAACACUACCUGUCAAAACCUUAACCUCGAAAUUAGAGUCCAGCUAUCUCUUACUGAUUUUUAGUUGAACAUAUUUUGAGCC